AUACGUAGGGUGCAAGCGUUAAUCGGAAUUACUGGGCGUAAAGCGUGCGCAGGCGGUUUUGUAAGACAGUGGUGAAAUCCCCGGGCUCAACCUGGGAACUGCCAUUGUGACUGCAAGGCUGGAGUGCGGCAGAGGGGGAUGGAAUUCCGCGUGUAGCAGUGAAAUGCGUAGAUAUGCGGAGGAACACCGAUGGCGAAGGCAAUCCCCUGGGCCUGCACUGACGCUCAUGCACGAAAGCGUGGGGAGCAAACAGGAUUAGAUACCCUGGUAGUCCACGCCCUAAACGAUGUCAACUGGUUGUUGGGGAUUUAGUUUCUCAGUAACGAAGCUAACGCGUGAAGUUGACCGCCUGGGGAGUACGGCCGCAAGGUUAAAACUCAAAGGAAUUGACGGGG
rnacentral:rRNA from 1 species